rnacentral:rRNA from 1 species
UACGUAGGGUGCGAGCGUUAAUCGGAAUUACUGGGCGUAAAGCGUGCGCAGGCGGUUCGUUGUGUCGGUGGUGAAAGCCCCGGGCUCAACCUGGGAAUGGCCAUGGAAACUGGCGAACUGGAGUGUGGCAGAGGGGGGUGGAAUUCCGCGUGUAGCAGUGAAAUGCGUAGAGAUGCGGAGGAACACCGAUGGCGAAGGCAGCCCCCUGGGCUAGCACUGACGCCUCGCGACGAAAGCGUGGG